AAAUCUGCCUAUCAGAGGGGAAUAACAGUGAGAAAUCAUUGCUAAUACCGCAUAUGCCAUAUGGUUCGCAUGAACCAAGUGGGAAAGGAGCAAUCCGCUGAUAGAUGAGCUUGCGUCUGAUUAGCUAGUUGGUGGGGUAAAGGCCUACCAAGGCGACGAUCAGUAGCCGGACUGAGAGGUUGAACGGCCACAUUGGGACUGAGACACGGCCCAAACUCCUACGGAAGGCAGCAG
rnacentral:rRNA from 1 species